GAAAUGCGAUAAGUAAUGUGAAUUGCAGAAUUCAGUGAAUCAUUGAAUCUUUGAACGCACCUUGCGCUCCUUGGUAUUCCGAGGAGCAUGCCUGUUUGAGUGUCAUGGAAUUCUCAACUCUAUUUGCUUUUGUGAAUAGAGCUUGGAUUUGGAGGUUUAUUGCUGGUACUUGUGAUCGGCUCCUCUUGAAUGCAUUAGCUCGAACCUUUGCGGAUCAGCUAUCGGUGUGAUAAUUGUCUACGCCGUUGCAGUGAAGCAUAUCAAUGGGCUCGGCUUCCAAUCGUCCUUUACUGGACAAUGACUUUGACCUUUGACCUCAAAUCAGGUAGGAUUACCCGCUGAACUUAAGC
rnacentral:misc_RNA from 1 species